GAAGCCACAAGUAGGACCUGAGGCAGCAGCUGUGGUCCUCUAAGCUGUGCCUGAGCCACCAAGAGUGAACGGAAACUAGAAGCAUUGCCACCAGCAGCUGGAGCAGUGACCACACUGAAGUUCCUCUGGUGAGGGGAAAGGGGAGUAAGGAGAAAACAAAGGCCAUUGAGUGAGCCGGCCAGCCAGCAUACUCUCCCUGUGCCUACCCAAGAUGUGUCAGUCAGAGAAGCAGCCAGGACCAGAGCUCCAAGCAGCAGCAAAAUGACUUAGGCACUGACCCAGGCCAUGUGUGGACAUGUGUCCUGCAGGUUGUACUUUCCCCAGCUGGCCCUACGGCGGAGGCUAGGCCAGCUGAGCUGCAUGUCCAGACCUGCUCUGAAACUGCGCUCCUGGCCCCUGACCAUCCUCUACUACCUC
rnacentral:lncRNA from 1 species